rnacentral:lncRNA from 1 species
CAGUAUGCCUACCUCUGGAUGUAUUUGCUACAAAUACCAGUAUUAGAUUGUAAUUGCCAAUCCUUUAAAACCAGUUUUAAGAUGGAUAUAAAGCCCUAAAAAUCUUGCAGCUUCCACAUGCACAUCUGAAAAACUUCCAAUUUACAAAGGACAUUGUGGUAUUUUUGGAAAACAAAGGAAAAUGACACAUACUAAUUUCUGUCAUUUAUUCACGUCAUAAUCCCCAAAGCUACCUUUAUUCCACGACUCUUUCCACCAUUUUCCUACAGUCAGCUUUUUUUAAGGCUAUAGCCUUUAAAAACUUGAAACAGAAAAUUUUAAGGAUGCAACCAUUAGAAAAUGUUCCCAUACUACCAUUUAACAUUCCCCAUUUAUCAUUAUGUUUACUAUCGUGUAAUUUCCAACAUAAUAUUAUGAGGUCAAAGGCUCUACGAACGCCGUUUUACAAUCUACCUAGGGAGGCAAUGGCUGUGAAACACACCACACCAAUGACAGGAAUGCGGGUCACUGUGACACAACGGAUCCCUCUGCAAAGUCAAAGCUAAGAGUUCACUUUACGCUGACGGAGCUUCUUUCCAGGACCCCCACCCCCACCCAAGGACAGGAGAGUGUCGAUUUCCCAAGGUGUCUGGCACUGCUUCUUGAAAACGCAGCUCUCAUCUGGUUCCUGGAAGGUCAUACUGGUUCGCGCAGGGCUCGGGACGGGGCGCUUGGCUUCUGAGGCACCCGCGCUGGCUCCUCACCCGGUGACCUUCAGGCCUCUGCGCUUGGCCUGACCCUAGAAGGGCCACCGCCCUUCACAGCGGGCGGGCACCGUCCCUCCCACGGCCCCGCCGACUGCUGACGCGGUGGCCCCAAGGGUCCAGGCCCGCACUUGCCCCACUCCCGCGGCGCCGUCCCCCAUAGUCGGUCCCCGAGGGCCGCGCCCAGCUCCUGCUCGGAUUUCAGCCCGCACCGCACCCCAGCCGCCAGGGAACCUUCCAGAACCCUGCCCCUCUGGCUUUCUCCCGAAAGCCCAGGGUCGCCGUCCAGGAAGAAACUUCGAUUCAUUUAUUGAGCGCCGACUGUGUCCAAGGCCGAGGGAGGGGCGGGGUUUCCACGCGGGGAGACCCCCUAGGUUCUCGCCUCGGUAAGCGCCCGCGUUCCAGCACCUCGAGUCGCCCGCGGGCCCCCACCCCUCGGGCCGGGCCCGGUCCUCGAGGAAAACCCACGGCGGGGCAGGAAGGAACGAGGAGAGCCACGCUCCUUGCCCGCCUCGUCCCCUCCACUCCCCUUCACCUCACGGGACCCCAGGGAAGCCGCCGGAGCUAAAAUUAGCAACCCGCGCAGCGCGCGCUCACGUGCGCGCGGCCCGGCGGGGGCGGGGAGCAAGGGGCGCGGUCCGGGUGAGUCACCGGCCCCGCCCCACUCGCCAAGAACGCGCUGACGUCAGCCGCUUCCCCGAAGGGUGACGUAAGCGCGCCACGGGGAGGCCGAGGCAGCUGAUAGAAUGUUCUGAGUUUCGAUGCCUUAAAGGGACCAGGCCUGGGAUCGUGAAACAUCUGGGGAAACGACUCCACUCACUCACCUGCAGACUGAGAGCCCAUCUUGUACCGUGUUAUACUUUAAGAGAGUUGACUGUUGAGAUGAUGAUGAAAACGGAAGAACAACUGAGCCUAGUUGGAGGCUCUUUGAAGUCCCAGAACCUCCUCCUGGAAGCCCUCUUUGGUUAACCAGAUGGACAUCUCAGUUGCCCUCUGAGCCUGAACCAAGUGUCAGGAAGAGUUUUCUAUGGCCCUUGACUCCUUAACUCUUUGCUUAUAGCGUCUCUGCUCUCUGAUGCCUCUGCUGUCAGAGAAAGGCUGUGGUUUAAAUAUUUAUUUAUGAAUCCAUCAGCUUGGGCCAACUAGGUCCAUUUAUCACCGUUUUGACUGUGUCUAAACUGUCAUUAGUGGUGUGACUAGAAACCAGUUAAUUUCGCUGGGUGGUAAAUUCGUGGACUGAUCUCCAAACCCUCCUACUGUGCUAAUGUUGCCAAUGGAAGUUUCCAGAGGCCAGGAUCCCUGGCCAACACGUGAUCGUAAACAACAUCAGGGCCUCACAGGGAACUCACAAUUUACUGAGGUUUGCUCUGUGCCAGGUGUUUUCAUGAUCCUCCAUCCCCUUGUCGUUUAGUCCUCUUCUCUGAGUCCUCCCCAUUUUACUGAUGAGGACGGAAAUCGAGGCACACGAUUAAGCGUUUCCCUGGGUCACACAGCUAAUGAAUGGCGAGCUGGAAGUCAGUCCCAGGUCAUCAGACUCCGAAGUCCAUGGUUUUGGUGAUGAAGGUGGGCUGUGAAAUGUGUGUCUUAUUCUAUGCAUGUGAGUCCGCUGGAACCAACUUUUCCACUUGGAACACAAUCUCAGUGCCUUUCAGCAGGUAACCGGCGCCAGACCAGAUCUCCAGAGAUGGAGGUGGUCGGCCUCAGGGCCCAGCCAUGAGAAGGUGUAUGAGGAGGCAUCGCAUCAGGCGCCCACCCUGUGCUUGCAGGGCCUGACCAUGAGCGCCGCCUUCAGUUUUACACCUUAGGCACCCCACUUGGCUCCCCUUCGUCCCAGCCCUGCCAGACCCACCCUUGACUCUGUGUUUCCUUUCUGGAAACUCGAGAGGCCAUUUCUACUUAAAGAGUCCUCACCUGGCCUACCAGCGACCAGAUCUGCCCAAGUGCAGAAGAAACACUUGGUUAUCUCCUCUUUCAUCGUCCCCGCUCGAGCAUAAAACAACAGAAAGUUUCCUAUCGGAACAGCAUGCUUGUGCCAAAAACAAAUUAGAAACAACAACAACUUCUCAAAAUUUUGAGCAAAAUGAUGGUGACCGUGUUCUGGAAAUGGAGCAAAGUUUCCUAGUGCCUGUGACCAAACACCUUGUGUGUGCUCCCCAGGAGAGAAAACCGCUAGCAGCCUCAGGUAUUGUUGGGGGUGGGGAGGAUGGGGGUUCUGUGGGGACAGGAACUUCUUCCUCUGUAUUGGGGGUGGACACACACACGGAAACUUAGAGCGGUGUACUACCUCCAGGCCAACCAGGCAAGUCCCUGUUUUAUAACUAAGGUCUAGGUGAGGUGGCCUGCCCGGGGUCCCAUGGCCUGUUAGGGGUAGAGAUUUCUAGUCACUUGACUUCCAGCCUGCUUCUUUUCCAUGGAUCACACACACACUACUGUUACAAGACACAGGUAGGACAAAGGGCAUGAACAUGCAUGGCAAAAUGAACAUGCACGGCAAAUGGGAACAUGUCAUAUAUACAAUGGAAGGGAAGACAAAUGACAUGAAGUAAAUAUAGACAUGAAAUCAUAGGGAAGAAUUGGAGAUCACGAUUUCUGAUGACCACCAGCUAUUCCCACUUCCUCUUUGCUUCUCCCUCCCACCUUGUUUGAAGACAGGUGAGGAGUUGUUCCUCCUCAGACCCAGGAAUCAUUUCCCAGUGGAAUGACACGGUGAAGUGGAUCGCCAUUUUUAAACCUUCAAUAAUAAAGAUCUUGUGUGUCAUUUCAGUUUUAAUUUUUUAUCGUCCAGUCUUUACUCUCCAUCAUUUCUUUAUCCCAGAAGCCCCAUUAAAUGUCAUUAAGAGCCAUAAAUGUAACUGGCCACUAAUGUGGAAGGAUUGUGAUCUCCGG